rnacentral:rRNA from 1 species
AACGAACGCUGGCGGCAGGCCUAACACAUGCAAGUCGAGCGCGCCUUCGGGGUGAGCGGCGGACGGGUGAGUAACGCGUGGGAAUAUGCCCUAUGGUGCGGAACAACUGAGGGAAACUUCAGCUAAUACCGCAUGUGCCCUACCGGGGGAAAGAUUUUAUCGCCAUAGGAGUAGCCCGCGUUGGAUUAGUUUGUUGGUGGGGUAAUGGCUCACCAAGACUACGAUCCAUAGCUGGUCUGAGAGGAUGAUCAGCCACACCGGGACUGAGGCACGGCCCAGACUCCUACGGGAGGCAGCAGUAGGGAAUCUUGCGCAAUGGGCGAAAGCCUGACGCAGCCAUGCCGCGUGAAUGAUGAAGGUCUUAGGAUUGUAAAAUUCUUUCACCGGGGACGAUAAUGACGGUACCCGGAGAAGAAGCUCCGGCUAACUUCGUG